rnacentral:rRNA from 1 species
UACAGAGGGGGCAAGCGUUGUUCGGAAUUACUGGGCGUAAAGGGCGCGUAGGCGGCCUUCUAAGUCGAACGUGAAAUCCCCGGGCUCAACCCGGGAACUGCGUCCGAUACUGGAAGGCUUGAAUCCGGGAGAGGGAUGCGGAAUUCCUGGUGUAGCGGUGAAAUGCGCAGAUAUCAGGAGGAACACCGGUGGCGAAGGCGGGUCUCUGGGCCGAUAUUGACGCUGAGGAGCGAAAGCGUGGGGAGCGAACAGG